UCGAACGGUAACAUUUCUAGCUUGCUAGAAGAUGACGAGUGGCGGACGGGUGAGUAAUGCUUGGGAACUUGCCUUUGCGAGGGGGAUAACAGUUGGAAACGACUGCUAAUACCGCAUAAUGUCUUCGGACCAAACGGGGCUUCGGCUCCGGCGCAAAGAGAGGCCCAAGUGAGAUUAGCUAGUUGGUAAGGUAACGGCUUACCAAGGCGACGAUCUCUAGCUGUUCUGAGAGGAAGAUCAGCCACACUGGGACUGAGACACGGCCCAGACUCCUACGGGAGGCAGCAGUGGGGAAUAUUGCACAAUGGGGGAAACCCUGAUGCAGCCAUGCCGCGUGUGUGAAGAAGGCCUUCGGGUUGUAAAGCACUUUCAGUUGUGAGGAAAAGUUAGUAGUUAAUACCUGCUAGCCGUGACGUUAACAACAGAAGAAGCACCGGCUAACUCCGUGCCAGCAGCCGCGGUAAUACGGAGGGUGCGAGCGUUAAUCGGAAUUACUGGGCGUAAAGCGCACGCAGGCGGUUUGUUAAGCUAGAUGUGAAAGCCCCGGGCUCAACCUGGGAUGGUCAUUUAGAACUGGCAGACUAGAGUCUUGGAGAGGGGAGUGGAAUUCCAGGUGUAGCGGUGAAAUGCGUAGAUAUCUGGAGGAACAUCAGUGGCGAAGGCGACUCCCUGGCCAAAGACUGACGCUCAUGUGCGAAAGUGUGGGUAGCGAACAGGAUUAGAUACCCUGGUAGUCCACACCGUAAACGCUGUCUACUAGCUGUGUGUGCCUUUAAGGCGUGCGUAGCGAAGCUAACGCGCUAAGUAGACCGCCUGGGGAGUACGGCCGCAAGGUUAAAACUCAAAUGAAUUGACGGGGCCCGCACAAGCGGUGGAGCAUGUGGUUUAAUUCGAUGCAACGCGAAAACCUUACCUACACUUGACAUGCUGAGAAGUUACUAGAGAUAGUUUCGUGGCCUUCGGGAACUCAGACACAGGUGCUGCAUGCUGUCGUCAGCUCGUGGUCGUGAGAUGUUGGGUUAAGUCCCGCAACGAGCGCACUCUUUGUCUAAGUGCCAGCAUUAGGUUGGGCACUCUUAGGAGACUGCGUGACAAACCGAGGGAGGGGGGGACGACUUCAGUCAUCAUGGCCUUACGGUA
rnacentral:rRNA from 1 species